GCUCCAAUAGCGUAUAUUAAAGUUGUUGCAGUUAAAAAGCUCGUAGUUGGAUUUCUGGUGGGAGAGUUUGGCCGGCUCAAUGAGUUUGUGCCUAUAUUCUUUCGCCAUCCUUGGGGAAAACUUGCUUGGCAUUAAGUUGUCGAGUUUGGGAUCCCCAUCGUUUACUGUGAAAAAAUUAGAGUGUUCAAAGCAGGCUUAUG
rnacentral:rRNA from 1 species